AAGUAUGACUUUUUUCUUAGAAAUGUUACAUGAUGCAAAGCAAGAAGACCAUGGUGGAUUUAGUUCCCAAGAGUAUAUUCUGCAAUAAAACAGGCUUUGAAUCCAGACAAGCACAUUCAAUUUCUCUUUUUACAGAGCCCAGAAUUCUUUUUUCUCCACGCUAGGCGGCAGUAGAGUCAAAGAGAAACAUUCAAAGCAGUUUAGGUGAAUUUUUCCAUAAGGCUGGGAUGAAGAUGGGGACCAAGACAAAUAGUAUGAAGAGAAGGUUAAAUUACUACAGAGGUGUGAUUGACACUCUGACAUGUCACAUGCUCAUUUUGGAAAAAAUAUGUUUGGUGCCAUGUCUCUUUACAGAGUAAGUAAAGCAUUAGGGACCUGUUAAAUCUAACUCCUGAUUCAUGAUGUAACUUUUGGUUGGCAAGGUGAAGAUUUUGAGUUUCCUUUAAAAAUAGUUCCUGGGUUUGUUAGUAUAUAUGGGUAUUUUCGAGUCUUCUUCCUGCGAGAUCAGUUAGGUCUCAGAGGACGUUUAAUGUGAACAUUGG
rnacentral:lncRNA from 1 species